rnacentral:tRNA from 1 species
UUUUAUAUAGUUUCAAUAAAACAUUUUAUUUUCAUUAAAAAAAUGACUUAUCUGUAGUCUAUAAAAA